AAAGUGGUCAAGCUAAUAAGGGCUAAUGGUGGAUACCUAGGCACACAGAGGCGAAGAAGGACGUGGUUACCGACGAAAUGUUCCGGGGAGUUG
rnacentral:rRNA from 1 species